rnacentral:lncRNA from 1 species
CGUUAGGGAAGUUUGGACUGCCACUGGAUAAAAUGAGGUAUAUUGAAUAAGGACACAAAUGUUGCCUUUCAACAGGUCAUUUAUGGACCUCUCAUAAAGUUUUUGCAGGGGUUCGUACAGUGUAGUUAGCGUAGUACUCUCUUUACACAAGACAUUGGAUCUUAUAUUCCCAUUCGGACUGGACGUGACUGCGUACUUUUACAUCCCACACAACUAAACGGGUGGCCAACUUCGGUCAGGUUUUACUGCCGGUCGGAAAAAAACCAAAGUGACCAUAUCUAAUAGUAUAUUUC